rnacentral:snRNA from 10 species
UUACUUACGUGGACGGGGUCAAUGGGAGAUCAAAAAGGCCAAUGGCCUAGGCUGGUGACAGCCAUUGCACUCCAGAAGUGUGCCUGCCUAAGGCAGUCCAAGUGGCUGAGCCUACGUCAUAAUUUGUGACAGCGGGGGCCUUUAUUUGUGCGGCCCCUAC